rnacentral:rRNA from 1 species
AGAGUUUGAUCCUGGCUCAGAACGUACGCUGGCGGCACGCCUAACACAUGCAAGUCGAACGAAGUAGCAAUACUUAGUGGCAGACGGGUGAGUAACAUGUAGGUAUCUGCCCUUUGGCCUGGAAUAACACGGGGAAACUUGUGCUAAUACCGGAUAAGUCUUUACGGAGAAAGCUUUAUGCACCAUUGGAUGAGCCUGCACUUGAUUAGUUUGUUGGUAGGGUAAUGGCCUACCAAGACUUUGAUCAAUAGCUGAUUUGAGAGGAUGAUCAGCCACAUUGGGACUGAGACACGGCCCAAACUCCUACGGGAGGCAGCAGUGGGGAAUCUUGCACAAUGGAGGAAACUCUGAUGCAGCGAUGCCGCGUGAGUGAAGAAGGCCUUUGGGUUGUAAAGCUCUUUCGUCGGGGAAGAAAAUGACUGUACCCGAAUAAGAAGGUCCGGCUAACUUCGUGCCAGCAGCCGCGGUAAUACGAAGGGACCUAGCGUAGUUCGGAAUUACUGGGCUUAAAGAGUUCGUAGGUGGUUGAAAAAGUUGGUGGUGAAAUCCCAGAGCUUAACUCUGGAACUGCCAUCAAAACUUUUCAGCUAGAGUUUGAUAGAGGAAAGCAGAAUUUCUAGUGUAGAGGUGAAAUUCGUAGAUAUUAGAAAGAAUACCGAUUGCGAAGGCAGCUUUCUGGAUCAUUACCGACACUGAGGAACGAAAGCAUGGGUAGCGAAGAGGAUUAGAUACCCUCGUAGUCCAUGCCGUAAACGAUGUGUGUUAGACGUUGGAAAUUUAUUUUCAGUGUCGCAGCGAAAGCGAUAAACACACCGCCUGGGGAGUACGACCGCAAGGUUAAAACUCAAAUGAAUUGACGGGGACCCGCACAAGUAGUGGAGCAUGUGGUUUAAUUCGAAGAUACGCGCAGAACCUUACCAACACUUGACAUGUUCGUCGCGACUUUAAGAGAUUAAAGUUUUCGGUUCGGCCGGACGAAACACAGGUGCUGCAUGGCUGUCGUCAGCUCGUGUCGUGAGAUGUUGGGUUAAGUCCCGCAACGAGCGCAACCCUCACUUUUAGUUGCCAUCAUUUAGUUGGGCACUCUGAAAGAACUGCCAGUGAUAAGCUGGAGGAAGGUGGGGAUGACGUCAGGUCCUCAUGGCCCUUACGUGUUGGGCUACACACGUGCUACAAUGGUAUUUACAACAGGAAGCAAGACGGCGACGUUAAGCAAAUCCUUAAAAAAUACCUCAGUUCGGAUUGCACUCUGCAACUCGAGUGCAUGAAGCUGGAAUUACUAGUAAUCGUGGAUCAGCGUGCCACGGUGAAUGCGUUCCCGGGUCUUGUACACACCGCCCGUCACACCAUGGGAGUUGGUUCUACCUUAAGGCAAGGUUUCAAACCCUUGACCACGGUAUAGUCAGCGACUGGGGUGAAGUCGUAACAAGGUAACC